rnacentral:SRP_RNA from 1 species
GCAGGCAUGGUGGUACAUGUUUGUAAUCCCUGCCACUGGGAAGCUGAGGCUGGUGGAUGUCUUGAGUUCAGGAGUUCUGAGCUGCAGUAAGGCUAAAGCUGAUUAAAUUACCAUGCUAUAAUUACCAUCAUCAAUAUGGUGAGCUUCCAAGAGUAAAAGACCACCAUGAUGCCCAAAGAGGGGCAAAAUAGGUCAGGUCAGAAAAAUGGAGCACGUUAAGGCUUCUGUAUUAAUCUGCACCGGGAUAGAGUCCAUGAAUGGCUCCUGCCCUUCCAGCCAGGGUGGAAUAGGGAAACUCAGUCUCCU